rnacentral:rRNA from 1 species
GACGAACGCUGGCGGCGUGCUUAACACAUGCAAGUCGAACGAAGUGGCGAACGGGUGAGUAACGCGUAAUAAACCUGCCCUUCAGAGGGGGACAACAGUUGGAAACGACUGCUAAUACCGCAUACUGAAGGAGGGGAUUGCGUCGGAUUAGCUAGUUGGCGGGGGAACGGCCCACCAAGGCGAUGAUCAGUAGCCGGUGGGAGAGGAUGAACGACCAAAGUGGGACUGAGACACGGCCAAGACUCCUACGGGAGGGAGCAGUGGGGAAUCUUCGGAAAUGGGGGGAACCCUGACCGAGCAACGCCGCGUGAGUGAAGAAGGUUUUCGGAUCGUAAAGCUCUGUUGUUAAGGAAGCGGUACUUAACCAGAAAGGGACGGCUAACUACGUGCCAGCAGCCGCGGUAAUAC